UACAGGGGGGGCAAGCGUUGUUCGGAAUUACUGGGCGUAAAGGGCUCGUAGGCGGCCAACUAAGUCACACGUGAAAUCCCCAGGCUUAACCUGGGAACUGCGUGUGAUACUGGAUGGCUUGAAUUCGGGAGAGGGAUGUGGAAUUCCAGGUGUAGCGGUGAAAUGCGUAGAUAUCUGGAGGAACACCGGUGGCGAAGGCGGCAUCCUGGACCGGUAUUGACGCUGAGGAGCGAAAGCCAGGGGAGCAAACGGG
rnacentral:rRNA from 1 species